AGAGAGGGGAGGAAAAUCGAUAGAUCUCGAGAGAGAGAUUGGGAGAGAAAGAGAGUGACCGAAAUCGAGAGAGAGAGUGGGAGAGAAACUGAGAGAGAAGAGGAAAACCGAGAGAGAGAGUCAGAGAAAUCGAGAAAGAGAGAACGAUUGAGAGAGAGAUUGAGAGUGAGAGUGAGAGGGAGAGGGAGAGAGAAAUCGAGAGAGAGAGAGAUCGAGAGUGAGAGGGAGAGAGAAGCCAAGAAUAAGAGACUAAAUCGAGAGAGAGUAAGAGAACUUGAGAGAGAGGAACUAAGAGAGAGAGUGAGGGAAACCGAGGGAGAAAGAGGGACGAGAAAAGCCAAGAGAGAGAGAGAAUAAGGGAAAAUGAGAGAGAGAAGAGGAAAACCAAAAGAGAGUGAGAGAAAAUGAGAGAAAGAGAUAGGAGAGAUCGAGGGAGAGAGAGUGAGAGAGAAUGAGAGAGGGAGAAAUUGAGAGAGAAGAGGAAAAUCGAGAUAGAGAGAGAAAUCGAGAGAGAGAGAGAGACCAAGAAUGAGAGAGAGAGAGAAAUUGAGAAAGCAAGGAAAAUCGAGAGAGAGAGUGGGAGAAAUCGAGAAAGAGAGAAAGAUCGAGAGAGACCUAGAGCGAGAGGGAGAGAGAAAUCGAGAAAGAGAGAGGAGGAAAAUCGAGAGAGUGAGAGAAAUCGAGAAAGAGAGAGAAAGAUCGAGAGAGAUCGAGGGAGAGAGAAACCGAGAGUAAGAAAGAGUGGGAGAGAUCAAGGGAGAGAGUGAGAGAAAACGAGAGGGAGAAACCGCGAGAGGAGGAAAAUCGAGAGAGAGAAAUCAAGAAAGAGAGACCGAGAGUGAGGGAGAGAGAAAUCGAGAAAGAGAGUGGGGAAGAGAGUAAAAUUGAGAGAGUGAGAGGAAGAGAGAGUAAGACCGAGAGAGUGAGAGGAAGUCUAGAGAGAGAGAAGAGAAAAGCCGACAAGGAAAGAGAGUAAAAUCGAGAGAGAGAGAAGAGAAAAGCCGACAAGGAAAGAGAGUAAAAUUGAGAGAGAGAAGAAAAUAACCGAUAGAGCAAGGGAGAGAAUGGAGGAGAGAGAGUGUGAAAGAGGGAGGGGACCGAUGGCUUAGGUUGCCGGUCCGAGUGAGUGGGUGAGAAGGAGAGAGAGAGAAAGAGAGAGGAAAGAGGGAGGGGACCGGUGGCUUAGCCACUGAUCCGAGUGAGUGGGUGAGGAGAGUGCACAUGAGAGAAAAAGAGGGGACUGGAGGAGAGAGAGAAAGAGAGAGAGAAAGAGAGGGGACUGGGGGCUUAUCCCCCGAUUCGAGACCGAGAGAAAGAGAGAGAGAGAGAGGAAGAGAGAGGAGAGAGGAAGAGAGAAAUCGAGAGAAGGAGAAAGAAAAUAGAAGAAAGAGAGGGAGUGGGCUUAGCCUCGGUUCGAGAUCGAGAGAGAGAGAAGGAGAGAAGAGAGGAGAGAGGAGAGAGAAGAAGUAGAGAGAGAGAAGGAGAAGAGAGAGAGAAAGACGAAGAGAGAGAAAGAGGGGACUGGGGGCUUAGCGCCCAGUCGAGACGAGAGAGAGAGAGAAAGAGACGGGGAGAGCGAGAAACCGAGAGAGGGAGGGAAAAUCGAGAGAGAGGGAGAAGUGAGAGAAAGAUAGAAAGAGAGAAAGAGAGGGGACUGAGGGCUUAGCCCUCAGUCCGAGAUUGAGAUAGAGAAGAGAGGAGAGAGAGAGGAGAAGAAGAGAGAGAGAGGGGACUUGGGGACUUAGUCCUCGAUCAGAGAGAGAGAGAGAGAGAGAAAGGGAGGGUAAUGUUGGUUACCUAAUUUGAACCUUGGGUCCGUACCGGGGGCUAGGCUCCUAGCCUUCUUGGUGUAUCCUUCAAGGUGGGUUGAGUGCCUUGGUGUGGAAAUGAGCGUGUAGGGUUAAGGCUUAUGCACUAGGGACUAUUGAAAGUAGACCUAGGUGUAUGGAAUAAGGGCUACAGAAGGUGGGAGUGAAGGGUUCUAGGUUGGGAGUGGCAAAUCCUAGGUUGAAAGUGGAAGAUUCUAGGUUGGAAGUGGAAGGUUCUAGGUUGGAAGUGGAAGGUUCUAGGAUAGAAGUGGAGGGUUCUAGGGGUAGUUCUUAAUGGGUGAAAGCUUUCUCUCUCCUCUCUUUGGUGUGAAGAAGAUAGAGUCCAAAAAUCACAAACUAAAGGGAAGCUCAAUGUAUUUCAUUAAUUUUUGCCAACACUUUGAUCUUACACCCAACCUAGGGUUACAAAUGAGUAUAAGGUGCUUAUAUAUCAUGCCCUUGAAACAAGGGUGGAUGACUAAAAGCAAGCCAAAUUGUAAAAAAUUACUGUUUUUGUGAAUUUAAAUUGAAUCCCGUUUUUAGGGCAAAAUGACCCCCACCUAGAAUCUUGGAAAUGACCGGAUGGUUCCCAAAAAGGCACCAUAGGCUAUGGUGAUCGUUUGGGACCUAUUUCGAGCUCUUCCAACAACCUUUCGAUGAAAAUAACAUCAUAAAAGUGAUGGUCUUGGCCAGACAAUCAUUUUGAUAUAUGAUUUAAUCCUUGAAUUGAGCUUUCAAAUCCUUCUUGAAAUCUGGUGAAAGAUGGGAAACUUGCAAUCUUGAGUGCUUAAUCUUGUCCAUUUCUUGAUGUUUUGGGUCGACUUUUUCAUCAUAGAUUGAUGGGGAAGCUGUCAUGAUCAUUUCAUGAUAAAAAUGGCUCGAUUUGGUUGUUGGAUCAUCACUUUUCGAAUUAGGGAAGUUGACGGAAUAUGGGAUUCCGGUAGCUGAAAAAUGUCCCUUUUUGUAACCUCAAAAUACGACAUCUUUGGUCUUUCAUCACAUGCGAUGUUUACCUCAAAUCGAAGCCGUCGACAUCAUCGUCGCAACGGACCAUUUUCAAGACGAUCCGAGGCCGUGGCUUCAUGAUACAACCACUUGAUCAAAGGGGUUUCCAUCUUGCAAAAAUCUGCAACUCGAGUUGUUUUUUAUGCAACUUCUCUUUAAGAUUUCUACUCUUAAGAUUUCUUCUGUCUUGAUUGGGCUUAAAACGAAGAAGUUAUUGCUCUUGGAAGAUGAUCCCGAGUUCAUAAGGUAUGGUUUUUAGAAAUGGAAACUGGUUCGCCAAGGGCGCACCAAAAUAGUGUAAAACCUACCAUUUUUGGGUAAGUUGGUCCUAGAAUGGUCUAGAAGCACCUGAUUGAGCUGAAAUUCGAUAUCUAGGGGUUUUUGGACGUUCUGAAUCCAAUGGAAGCAAUCUGGUACUCUUAGGGAGUUAAAUGCCGUCCCCACAUACUUUUUGGGACCAAUUCGACACCCUUCAAAAUUCUCUAAAAAAUCAAGAUUUAUUCUAUUAGUGCUUCCGCAGUCUGCAGGUAUUUUGGUACCUGUAGGCUUAGGUCACAAUUGGCUUCCUCCUUAUUCUUACCGAGGAUACAAGUGUCGAAAAAUACCUUACAACAACUUGCCCUGCCGAAUGACUAAAAACAAGCCAAAUUUUUCAAAAAUUGAAUCCCGUUUUUGGGCCAAAAUGACAAUUUUGGCUCCACCUAGAAUCUUGGAAAUGAUCGGAUGGUCCCCAAAAAGGCAUCAUAGGCUAUGGUGAUCGUUUGGGGCCUAUUUCGCUCUUCCAACAACCUUCUGGUGGAAAUAACAUCGUAAAAGUGAUGGUCUUGGCGAGACGGUCAUUUUGAUAUAUGAUUUAAUUCUUGAAUUGAGGUUUCAAACCCUUCUUGAAAUCCGGCGAAAAAUGGGAAACUUGCAAUCUUGAGUGCUUGGUCUUGUCCAUUUCUUGAUGUUUUGGUUUGAUCUUUUCAUCAUAGAUUGACAGGGAAGCCGUCAUGAUUAUUUCAUGAUAAAAAUGACUCGAUUUGGUUGUCAGAUCAUCACUUUCCGAAUUGGGGAAGUUGCUGGAAUAUGGGAUUUCGGUCACCAGAAAAUAUCCCUUUUUGUAACCUCAAAAUAGGGCAUCUUUGGUAUUUCAUCACUUGUGAUGUUUACCUCAAAUCGAAGCCCUCGACGUCACGGUCGCAACGGACCCGUUUUUAAAAUGAUUCGAGGUCGGGGCUUCGUGAUACGACCACUUGAUCAAAGGGUUCUCCAUCUUGCAAAAAUCUGCAACACGAGUUUUUUUUAUGCAACUUCUCUCUAGGAUUUCUUUCGUCUUGGGCUAUGUCACUGUGCCAUAUAUCAAAACGUACGCGUUGACGAGACGACUUAUGAAAUUUGGGCAUGAUUAGGCUUAAAACGAAGAAGUUAUGGCUCUUGGAAGAUGAUCUCGAGUUUAGAAGGCACAAUUUUUCCAAAAAUCGAAUCUGGUUCGCCGAAGGUGUACCAGAAUAGUGUAAAACCUACCUUUUUUGGGUAAGUUGGCCAGAGAAUGGUCUAGAAGCACCCAUAUGAGCUGAAAUUUGUUAUCUGGGGGUUUUUGGACCUUCCAAAUCCAAUGGAAGCAUUCUAGUACCCAUCUGAGACCCUGAUAAUAGGUCUGUAGUUAUGAAGCACUUUUUUGGCAUGUUAGGAGCCUAAUUUGGAAAUUGAUUUUCCGUUUGGUCUGCUUUAACUUCGUCAGAUCACGAUAAAACUUGGCGGGUGCUCUUAGGGAGUCAUGCUCUUAGGGAGUCAAAUGCCGUAACCACAUUCUUUUUGGGACCAAUCCAACACCUUUCAAAAUUCUCUAAAAAAUAAGGGUUUAUUCUAUCAGUGCUUCCGCAGUUCGCAGGUAUUUUGGUACCUGUAGGCUUAGGUCGCAACUGGCUUCCUCCUUAUUUGCAUCGGGGAUUCUAGUGUUGAAAAAUACGCUACAACAACAACCAAAAGGUUGAAGCCGAUACUUAAAGGAAAGGGAAGGAGUGAGAGGUGGAGGAAAGUAACAUGCAUCAAGGGUGCGGAUCCUUUAGGAGCUUGGCUAGCUACUCUUGCACAAGAGUGACUGAUUUUCGUGCCCCUUCUGAUAUUUGUUGGGCCUUAGCUACCCCUCUAGCAAUAGCGGCUUCUGCAUCCGCCUGAGAGCGAGUAAGUACCAUCCCCGUUCAGAUGAUUUGGAGCAUUCCCACACACAUUCACAUGCAUACCAUGAGAAGGUAAAUAAGAAGAGGAAGGGCUAGUGUUUACCAUAUGGACCAUAGUCUUAGGUCCAUGCAUGCUCACAGUCCGGAACUCUUCCUCCGCUUCAAGUGAGAAUGUGAAAGAGUCAUUGGGGUGUCACAUGCCACCAAGGUGGCUGUAAAUUUCUUCUAUGAAGGGGAGACAGUGGACAAGAAGAGGGUCACUUGAGUUGGCAUAUCAAAUUCCAUGCAGGCCAACUCAAUGUCCUUCACCAUAUGGAGAAAACUCUCACAUGAUUACCAAUUUUUGAGUGAUCCGGCAUCAGGCAAUCCAUGAGCUUCUCAUACUCAUCACCUUGUGAGAGUAAGAUAGAGUAUCAAAGGUUUUUUUCAUCUUUUCAAUUAUUUCUUUGGCUGUCCUACACUUUUCAUACUCUUUUGCAUAAGUAUAGGACAUAGUGGCUAAGAGCACAUUCUUAGCACUUUGAUUUUCCGUGCUCCAUGUCUCAUAGGCAUUACGUGUGGCUUGAGCGGCAUUAAACGUGGCACAUUUGGAGGGUCUUGUGUGAUCAUGGGUAUGAGACCCUCCUCAUGGAGUACAUAUCCCACUUUCCUUCGCCAUUCAAGGAAAUUCGACCCGUUGAACUUCUCUUCUUUAAGCAAUAUGGUAACUAUCGAUUUGUUGGCCAUGCGCAAACACUUGAGCAAAGUUCUAAUACAAUCUAGGACUCACAAAAAGACUCAAAGGGACCUCUCUUAGAGUUUUGGCUUUGAUACCACUUGUGUAUAGAAACCAAUAUUCUUGACUUGGACUACAAAAAAUACAAGCUAAUAUACCUUGAAAUUUUACAAUACACUCACAAUUACAACUCGAAAAUUCAACUUACAGCCAGGUCACCGUAACCACAGUGAGCUACUUUCAUCCAAAUACAUUCAAAUAAGAGGAUACAGAUCUAUUAAGGUACCUUGCUUAUGAACAAGACAACUUACAAAAGGAAACCAUCAAACUACAUAUGUAUAGUGUGCUUUUGAAAUUCAGCAUUACUCAAACUUACAAAGAAAAAUUAUACAUCAAUGGACUUCAUAAAAUUCAUUAUAACAUGAUCUCUAUUACGUCAACAUACAUAUGCUCAAGUGUGCAAUGCAACAUGACCAUGGGAAGCCAAUCGGGGCUCUGGAGUGUCCGGUUUAUGGGCUUUGGUCUUAGCUAUGUGUUACUGGGUUAUAUGCAAUGACAUAUCUCAAAAUCGACCUAAUUCAUCAUCUAAUAAAGUGGGAAGUCAAGCAUCUACCGAUACCCAAUUAAAACAUGGAAGGAUUUGCAGAGAUCUAAAGAUCAAAUCAAGUGGAGAAAUCGUGGGAGAAAAUCGGGCUCUUAAAACACAAAACCGGUUCAAUCAACUUCACAAUUCGGCUCUCAAUAUUCUGACAUAGUCUCUUCUUAUAAAAGCAACAAUUCAAGAGAUUAAGAAGCAAAGUGUAAGUGACUGAUAUGAUAAAAAAAUCUCAGAUACAUAUCAGCAAUAAAAAAUUCCAAAAUCCAAGGAAGAAAGCUCAUGGAAAACUAUACUAAAAUGCAUCUUUGAAGCCUUUAACUAUAUGGAUCUAGUGAGAUCAAAGAUCAUUCAAAGGAUCAAAGAUCUAAUGAUCAAAGUAAUGUUGUAAUUAAAAAUUUAUUGCAAGGAGAAACGAAGGAAAUAAAUAGAAAUAGAAAUGAUCUAACUCAAUUGUUGAGGGCUUGAAGACUAGAUCAUCCAUGGCUUGAAUUUGAGCUUUGGAUCACCAUUAUGGAGUAAUAUAAGACCUUCAAUGGAGCUAUUCUCUCGCCUUAACAUGAAGGAGGAUCUUAGAGAGAAGGGAAGAAGAAGACUAGCUUGGGCAUGCCAUUCAAUGGAAGAAGAGAGAGAGAGAGAGAGAGGGGCGUGCCACUUUUUGGAGGGAAUUUGUGAAGUGAAUUCAUGUGUGAGAAAAUGUAGGCUUGUGAGGUAUUUAUAUGCUUCUAACUCUCAAGUGUGGAGAUGCUUCGAGAUGAAUGAAUCUUGGCUCUUCAUGUCAUCAACCAAUGGCUACAAAGAGAGACAUGAUCCUAGCCCACCAUCCAUCAUCAUGCCAUCAAGAUGUGUGGUAUGAAUUUAAACGCCUUUAUCUUCUUUUAAUUCACGUAAAUUUCCUUUGUUAUCAAAACGCCCAUGCUCUUUACAUUUAAUAAAACUAAAACCAAGAUGGAGGGUAUACCCUUAUGGUCAUUUAUUAAAAAUUCCAGCAAAAAGAAAAUCUUAAAAGUUCCUUCCAUUUCAUAAGAGCAUGUGGAGCUAAUGAAAGCAUGCCACAUAAGCUUAGGUGGUUAAUUGCACAUUUAUCAUAUACCCUUAGAGUUUGGCUUGUAAUUACAAAUUGUAUACCCCUUCUAGAAUCCUCCACACAUGUGCACAAAGCCCCCUUGCUCAAAGAAUCCAUAAAACUUCCCAUAAACCCAUAAAAAUCAUUUUAAUGAUUUUCCAUCAAAUUAAAUCAUUUUGGCAUUGAUUAAAAAUAUUUACAAGGAAAAUUAGGAUCCUUGGAGUUGAAUUACGAAACGGAGCAUUUCACUUGGCUAGAUUUGGAAUCCAAAGCCUUCUCGGUAUGACUCAACAAACUCAUGACCCACAGUAUAUAAUCAGAGGCUCAUGAUUUGAGCCUAUCAAAGUCAAACCGAUGUGCGAAUCUGAAUCCUCAAGUAUAAGUGGAUUUCAGGUGCACCCCCUAGAGGACAUGCACACACAUGUGCGGGGGUUCCUCUCUUGGCACAUGUGCAUAACUCUAACAAGUGGAUCCCUAGAAGAGUGGCUUCCCAUGCACUGCGAAUGUAUAUGCAUAUGUUAUGAAAAGGUUUUAGGAAUCAGGGGUUUUGGCCAAUGUCCUCUAUUGGUCGUAACCUUCCCAUACAAGGCUGUUAGUCAUCAAGUUCAUACAUAAAUAGUAUUUCCUUGGCCCAUCACUCAGUCAUGAGGCACAAAUAUAGUAACUGACUCUGACUAAGACGUAACGAUCAACCCUCUUGGUACCUCCCACAUAUAAAUCCUCCUUAUGACUUAAUCGGGGUUCCAUGACUCUUGGUCCCAGUGUGUCAAGAUCCCAGAGUCAUGUCACUCUUUUACUCCCACUGAAGUUACGAGCGAUUGAAAAUGUCGAAUUUAAGGCUUUGAAAUGACAUAAUUCCGACAAGAAGAUGGGUACAACCCAAAGUUCUAAACAAUUAUACCCCAGUGCUAACCUGGAAUCAGGAACUGUUCCUAACUUCGGUAAUUCUUUCAGCUUCUAUGAGAAUCCUAAUGUUGGACUUACCCAUUAUUGUAUGCAUGGAUAAGCAUUAUUUUGUUCAACAUCCUGUAGGGAGGUUUGUAUCUUAUAAAUCUGUGUCUUCUUAUCGUGGCUUCAUAAUUGCCCCAUCUUCAGUUCGAAUACCUUCCUGAGUUGCACAUGGACUUUCACAACCUCAAUGAAAGGUUGUCUUGGGUGAUGAGAUGUAAGCCCUUGGGCAAAAUAAUACAUGGGAAAUCACCAAUCUUCCUAAAACAAAGAAGGUCGUAGGAUGUUGGUGGUAUAAACUGUUAUAAACUGUGAAGUGCAAGGCUGAUGGCACAUUGAAAGUCAUAAGGUCAGAUUGGCUGCAAAGCGCUUCAAUCAGACUCUUGACAUAGACUACCAAGACACAUUGAGGAUCUGUCUUUCUCGAGCUGCUAAUAAAUCUUUGCCUCUCCACUAGCUAGAUGUGAAGAGUGCAUUCUUGCAUGGAGAUAUCCAAGAAAAGAUCUAUAUGUCCAUGCCUCCAGGUAUUCAGAUUUAUUCGGAGACAGGAAAGGUGUGCAAGUUAAAGAAGGAGAUUUAUGAACUUAAACAGUCUCCUAAAGUGUGGUUUGGAAAAUUCACUAAGGCAUUGCUGAAAUAUGGGUUUAGAAGUCAGGUUGAUCAUAUGCUCUUUGUAAAGAAGAAUAGUAUUGAGAUUUUAGCCCUUAUAGUGAAUGUCGAUGAUAUUAUUGUGACAGGGGACAAUGUGAAGGAUAUUGAAGAUUUUAAAUCAUAUCUAAGCAAGGUGUUCAAUAUCAAAGAUUUAGGACCCCUUAAGUAGUUUUUGGGAAUUGAAGUGGCAACAUCAAAGAAAGGGAUAACCAUCUCCCAAAUAAAUUAUUAACUGAACCUAUUACAACAAACUGUAAUGUUCAGAGCUAGACAAGCCGAUAUUCUUAUAGAAAUCAAUCCUAAACGUUAUGGAGUAGGGGGAGAGUUGCUGGAAAGUUCCAAAUACUGGGCAAGCUCAUAUUCCCCACAAUCGCAUGACCGGACAUCUCUUAUGCGGUUAGUGUGGUCAGCCAAUUUAUCCAGGCACCACGUAAACCACAUCUUGAUACAAUGUAUCGGAUAUGGAGAUAUCUCUGGUCUGCUCUAGGAAGAGAGUUAUUUUUCUCUAAUCAAGGGCAUUGUUAUGUUGCUAUUUACAUUGAUGCUGAUUGGGCUAGAUGCCCAACUAAUAGGAGAUCCAUAACUGGCUAUUGCACCUUUGUUUUAGGAAAUCUGGUUUACUGGAAAAGCAAGUAACAAAAUGUGGUGGCAAGAUCAAGUGCUGAAGUGGCAUAUAGGGCUAUGGCUCAUAAUACAUUUGAAGUACUGCGGGUCCAAAAUGUUUCAUCUGAUUUGGGAGGUUAAAGUUAAGCGUCCUUGACUUUGUAAUGUGACAAUGAAAGACUAAACACAUUAAAGUAGAUUGUCACCGCAUUAGAGAGAAGGUUGUUGCGUAGAUCAUUCAUACUCCUCAUGUGAAGCUUAAAGAUCAACUUGCAGGUAUCUUCACUAAAGCUGUUGGAUGGGAUAGACUGCAAGAUAUCACAAGCAAGUCGGGCAUGAUUGAUAGCUAUGCACUAACUUGAGGGGGAGGGAGCGUUGGAAAUAAUUAAUUAUUGCUAUAUUUGAUGGGUAUAAAUGUCUUUAUUUUUGCUUAGGUCAUAUAUGUCCUAUUUCAUUGUGCAUGGGUAGUACUGUAAUUGGUUCACUUUGUUGACAUAAAAGGAGGUACCUGUUGGUCAUUCUAGGCCAUCACCUCUCUCUCUCUCUCUCCCUUCCUCACGCUCUUUUUGCCUCUCAAUCUCCCUCUCUCCUCCUUUUUCUUCCUUCUUUUUCUCUCUCUUACUACUCUCUAGUCGCUUACCUUUGUUUUUUCUCCUUUUCUCUUCUUUAGUUUUCCCUAACAUUAUUUUCAACUAUUUUAACUCACUUUUUAAAUCCCAGAUUGCCUGGGUGAGCUGGCCAUCCCAAAAUUUGGCCAAGAUUGGCCAAGCACUGAUCUGGGUUGGUGAAUUGGAGUGAUUCUCUUGUGUGAGAAUUCGUCCUAAUUUUUUAAAAAAAUAAAAUAAAAAAGGAAUAUAUGUCUUUAAGAUAAUGUAAUGUGUGGGAACCGGUCAAUCUGGCUGGUCCAAAUAGCCUAGUUCCCUGACAAAUUCGCCUAGUUCCUUGAUCGACCUAGGUGAUUCCAUGGAAACAAGACUUGUUCCAUGGGAACCGGACCAAUUCCAAGUUCUAACAAGGAACCGGGUUGAUCACGAGUGAUUCCUUCCCAAAUCAGAUUGGUUUUUUAAACACUAGUUUAGAUCAUUUUAGACAAAAUAAUGCUUAUAUUCUUUGGACCUCGUAAUUCUAGAGGUUUAAAAAUUAAAACUUGGAAUAUAUUCAUGUGAAGGAACGUGGAAGUCAUCUAUCUACUCAUUUAUAUUAAACCUUAUGAAUUAUUGUUGUUAUUGUAUGUUUGGAAUAUAUUCAUUUUAAUGUUUUGUGCAAACAACCAUAAAAUAAUUCUUGCCGAGCUCUCAUUGGAAUUGUUUGGAAUUCUCUAUUGGCCAUUAGUUUUAACAUGGAUCAUUGAAUUGUUAAUGAAGAUAAAUGCUGCUGACAAAUUUAGCUUCUUAAUCUGGAGAAUUUAACAAUACAAUUCUGUGUAUUGCACUUGGUUAAAUUGCAGUUAUACUUGUUUUUGUGUCUUGUACACUUUAUCAGUAAGGUGUUUUUGGCUUAAAUGAUUACUUUCACUGCAUCUGAAAUAAGUAAUACGAAGACAAAUGGUUAUGCUCCUUUUUGAUAACCAUCUUGGUCUAGCUGGUUAGUACUUUAUGAAAGUGUAGAUCAAUUCCCUUAACAAGUGACGAUUGACCCUGAUCUUCUUUUCUUUGCAGAAUAUGAUCAGGAAAGAGGAUCUGAUGCUACUAGAGGAUGGGCUACAUUUGGAGUACUCUCUUGUGUGUAAGUUGAUAAAAGAUCCUAGUUAGACAAGCUGUAAAUUAGGUUAUUUAUUUUUUAUUCUCUUCAACAAGUAUUGACUUUAAAAUUCUCUAGCAAUACUCCAAUAUCAAAUACAGGUGGAAAACAGAAUCAUAUAUAGCAAGUAUAUUGUCUACCAACAUCUCUCUUUCCUUGAUAUAGUAAGUAGCUCUUGUUGGAAUAUCAGUCCCUCAAGCAGAUCAGGGGAAAAAAAGAAAAAAGAACUACACAAAUAUAUAUCCUAGUUAAUCUGAGUUCUGCCCAUUAUGUUUGUAAUAGGAUUAGGAUUAGGUGCUCUGUUUAGGUCAAUGUGUAAUCUUUUACACGUGGAAUCAGGGAUUUAAAAACCGGCCCUAGAAUCGCCCGGGUCGACACAGGAAUCAGCCACCCCGUGCCGAUUCUCAUGAAAUACAGGAAUCAGGCGGUUUUAGAGUGAAAACGACGUUUUUUACCGAAAAAACGGCAACUCGCUACAGUAAAACGGUGAGUCGCUACAAUAAACAUUGUUCUUCCCUUUUUCAGCAAAAAAACUGCUGGAAGCAUCAAAAUUCAUCAAAAUUUAUCGUUUCUUGAUGAACAAUGGAGGGGAAUCAUAUUUUAGGUCCGUAAAACAUUGAUUGGGUUUGGAUUGAGCCUAAAAAAAUACCGGAUUGUGAAUUUGUUGAUUGAAAUUUGGGUUUUUUUUGAGCGGAUUAGGGUUUUUUGCCAAUUCGAUAUUUUGGUGGCCAUUUUUUCAUUGAUUUAAUCCGUUCUUUUUUCUUAAUGAUCAUGGUAAUACAUGCUUUCAUCAAAAUCAGGUACUAUGAUUUGUUGUUUUGUAUUUUAGUUUUACGAAUUUUUUUUUGGGGCGAGAUUCAUGAUUUUGAAAACCAAACCGUAAAUCAUGGGGUCAUUCUCCAUCGAUUUGAUCCAUUUUUUUUUUUUUGUUCUAAUGAUCAUGUUAAGAUUAGAUUCCACUAGAACCAGGUAACACAAUUUGUGGUUUUGUAUUUUCUUUUUGUACGAAUUUUGUUUUUGGGGUCUCUGCAUGUGAACACUUAUAAGGUUGAUUGUUGGAUUAUUUUUUUAUUUAUUUUAUGAAUUUCCUUUAUAGAUUGUCUGAUUGUAUGAAAUCUGAUUUUUCUUGUUUGAAUCAUUGUUGGGUUUUCAUUUUUAUUCUUGUUUUUCAUUUUCAUAUUCUCUUGAUGUUUAUUGGGGGAACAUUUCUUUUUUUAUUUUUUUUAUUUUUUUUCUGAUAUAGAGUUGUAGUCAUUGUGAGCUAUUAUUUUUACGGGGUUUUCUGCCCAAUUUCCGAUUUUUUAUUUGCGGAUUUGUUAUGAGCUUCUUUGGGUUAUGGAGAUUUCAGGUAUCAAUUUCUAACUCUAAAAGUGUACUGUAAUGUUGCUUGUCUUUUAAAGUUCUAAAUAAGCAAAACUAUUCUUUCAAAAUGGGUUGCAUUCUCUAUUUCCCUUUUCUUUCCUUUUGUUUUUCUGUUUGGGGUUCUUGGACUGGCUUUGAUCAUGUGGCGUUGCUUUCAGAAUGAAGUUGCAAUGUUUAUUUUGUUAGUAGCUUUUGUGGUAUCCUUUGGAUUCCCAAUUAACUUUCCUAUGUGGAUUGGGCAACACUUUCAUGUUCAGAAUAAAGAAGGGGCCUACAUUUUCUAUCACUACAAUAUUUCAUUUUUGGCUGACAUUGCAAGUAUUUAUUUUCUCUAAAUACAGCUUGUUGUCCAAUAUUGUUCUUAUGGCUUCCUCACAAUUGUUUCUCUUUGAAGGAUGUUUGCACCUCUUCUUAUUUUAUCUUUAAAAUUGUUGCAUGCUGCUUAUAUUAUUGAAUAUCACGAGCGCAGUCUAUAUCCUAAUCCGUCCCAGCAAGAAAACAACGUAUUAUUGAAUAUCACGAUACCUUUUAUAAAUCAAAUUAUCUUCAUCUUUCUCUGAUGUUCUUGUAGUAGCAUUGGGUAUCAGUAUUAUAUCCAUUUGAACAUGUUUCUGAUGACCCAGAAGUUUUGGGGGCUGCAAGUAUCUCAUUGACAAUUGAACAUCUUUCCGUUUUCCAAAAAAAUGAAAAUAUGAGAUAAGUUUUUCUUUUAAUACGAAGUCACGUAAUAUCCUCUCUAGGAUCAACUGUGUAUCCAACAAUAAGAGGCUAGGGGCGAGCAUGACAGUGUAGGUGAGCAUGAAAGAUGGACAAGUUUCGGGGAUUUUGGACUAGGAGCGCAACAAAAAACACUAAUACUCAGAGAUACUCAGGCGCCCACUAAUUUGGAUGAUUUGUUCCUAGAUCAAGUCAAUGAAUUGUCAUGCGAAUUCAAUGAAUGGGAACAACAUGACCAAAAUAAAAAAGAACAUCGCCUUUCAUUUUGGUUUUAGGUCAUAUUUUACAAAUUGUAUGCUUUAUUUUAGUCCAUGUAUGAUUAUAUACUUCAUCCAUGAUAAUUUUAUGAUUAUUCUUUUGUGUGAUAUAAAUUUAAUGGGUAGCAUAAGUUCAUAUAGGGAAAGAACAUCUCAAUAUUCGUAUAUUGAUUCACAAAAAUGAAAGUUAAUAAUGUAGUACCCCAUUUCUUAUUGGAUUCCUAAAAACCAACAUUUAUAAUGAUUUUUAAUAAUUUUUUUGGAUUUUUUUAUUGCCGAAUUUGACCGUUUCGGCUGAUUCCCCUCCGAUCUGCCGAUUCACCGAUCCGGAUGGGUUUUUGGGGUGCUUGGUCCGCGGCACUGAUCCGUUUUUUAAACCACUGCAUGGAACAUAUUUUUAUAUAUUAUGUUAUGAAUUCCUUUUUUCUCUUGGGUAAGUUGGUUGAGUUCAAACUCAUUUCGGUCUGAAACCGAAAAAAGGGUAGCUUAGAAUUAUGGGACAAACUCCAGAGGCUCGAAUCAUUGACAUCUUUUGAGCAAUCUGGAUGUCUACCUACCACCAGGCUGCAGCCUAAGGCACAGAAAUGAAAAAGGUUGGGUCAGCUUGGUUUGAUUUUUGAGACAAAUUUUAAGUGUUCUAAAGUCUCGACUUCCCUCGCACAAACAUGAUUCUUUCCUUCGAAAAGAAGUCCAAUUGACAAUAAUUUUCUUUUUCUGCUUUUUGUGGAAAAGAUAUUAUCUACCUGGUUAGCAGUAUUUCAUUCUGUAGCCUUAUAACUGUGGUACUUACCCAAGGCUUUAUUGUACUGGGUUUUGUAUAAGUCCCGUUUAUGUAAAAUUUUAAUAGUUGUUUAUGUGAACUUCAUUCAUGCAGGUUCAUUGUGCUAGCAUCAAUCUUCUGCUGUGCUGGUUUCGUUUACAAAAUUCGAGUUGAGCACCAGGUGAGUUUGCCUGUGUUUGUGCAUAUGCACAAUGAUAUCAGGCUGGUGAAAAGAAUGAUAAUUGUUUUGACAAUUAAAAUAAUGAUAUGGCUAUGAUGAAAAAUUUCCCUUGCAACUUUUGUAGCGAGGAUUAGAUGCCUUGCCUGGCAUCACAGUGCUAUCUGCCUGCCUGGAAGCUGUAAGUGCAUCAAAACCACCAUCCAUUAUCAAUAUACACCCCCCCACUCCCCCCACCCCUCUCUCUCUCUCUUGACAUAUAUAUGUAUAAAUACUUGCCAUGGUAAAGGGAUAUAGUGUUAGACUGACUUGUUGACAUUAAAAUAGGUGACUGGAUCAGAGUUAGGCUACUCACGGGCUGAUACUCUCAAUGGUAGCUUUGUCAAUUCCACAUCAUGGGAUAGCUUGCCUGUUACUGAACAAGCAACUCAAAGAACAGGAGAGAGAAAAUAUGGAUCCAUGUGAAGCAGAAGCUCUAGGUGUUUUGAGGGUUAUGGAUUUCUGUCUUUUUGAGGGAGAAAAGAGUGGGCAACUGAUUGAAUAUGCUGUUGCCUGAAGAAUGGGGAAUUUCGUGCUUCCUAAAUUCUUGGUUGAGAGGGUCUAUUGAAGAUCGCAGGGCGCUGUGGACGACUCUCCACAAUGACUUACAUGUUACCUAAUAUUGAUAAAUGAAAAGUAAUUGUGACUUCAUUGUAUGUUUAAGUUACAGUUACUAAUGCUUACCAUUGACUAUGUUAACGAGUGGGAGGUGACUUGAAGUUUUCAACUUUGGAUACGAUGGAUUUUUCUCUCAAGUUUAUUACCCAAAGAAAUGUCAUCCAGUGGAAACUGCAUCAUCAUUCUUUUGCAUUGAUUUAGUUUAACAAUAAUUUCCUUUGGUGGCUGAAUGCAUUUGCACACGCAUCAUGAGAAUCCUUCAAGACUUUAAUUGUUAAAAGUUACUGUUUUUUACUAUUUCUAGAUGUAAUGCUAGGUGAUGACAUAAAUAAAACCAGUAGAAUUUAUUGUUCUUUGAUGAAUACUAUCAUUUUGGCGAGCUAGAAUAUUAUUUUGGACAUAGCUGUGUCGAAUGAAAACAUGGUAUCAGCCUUUCUCACUGCAAAUGACUGUCAGGGAUCGCUUCCAAAUUUUCACAUGCAAUCUUUGGACCUGCAUAUAUAUCUCUGGAGCUUUGAAACCUUGACACCUCACUCCUAUUCUUUUUUAUUCAGAUGUUUUAUAUUCUAUUUUCUGUUAUAGAGUUGUAGUUACUCCGGGCGAAAAAACAAUGGCUUCCCAUGCUGACGAAUGGUUACAAUGGGCAAAAUUUUCGAAAGACUAUCAUAGAUCUCAAGACAUUUCACAUAAGCACUCUACAAUGAUGCGUCAUGCGUAAAUAUACAGACCACAAGUUUCACACAAAGGAAGUACAUGGUCAAAACCAAAUGAGAGAGAGAGAGAGAGAGAGAGAGAGAGAGAGAGAGAGAGAGAGAGAGAGAGAGAGAGAGAGAGAGAGACGUAGUACGUACGUAGUACGUACGUACGUACGUACGUACGUUACGUUACGUUACGUACGUACGUACGUACGUACGUACGUACGUACGUACGUACGUACGUACGUACGUACGUACGUACGUAGUACGUAGUACGUAGUAGUACGUACGUACGUACGUACGUACUACGUACGUACGUACGUACUACGUACGUACUACGNNNNNNNNNNNNNNNNNNNNGAGAGAGAGAGAGAGCACAGUUCAGCUUAGUUAGCUAGGCGACAAUUAGUUCUUACUUCCCCUUGGCUUCCAAGGAGAGGGUUAAGGUUACCCAUUUUCACCAUGGACUUUGCAAAUUGAUCAAAGAAGAGGUCUUCAUUUUCUGCAUAGCUCUGGACCAAAUUCAUGGUCUUGCCCCCACUUCAGUAACUAGCACCAUAUCUGAAUUCAGAAGCGACUUUCCCCAAAGGAGCAGCUUGUAAUAGUAGUUAUCGAACUUUGUGGGGCUCACCAUGUCCAAAGGAGAGAGAUUAUUGUCUCCACCUGAACUUGGGCAACAUGAUGUCAGCCUGUUAUAGAAAUCUCCCUCUAGAGAAGCAUCUGGUUGCCCAUUUCCAUUCUGGUUGUACAGUCUCUGCCUGAAAGUCACACAUCUUGCCAUUCCAAGUGUGUGACUCCCUGAAACAAGGUUAAAAAAUAAAGGCUUAGAUGGGUGAAGUGAUGAGAUCACUGUGAAGUUUACUUGUUUAGUGACCGAUAUGGUCACCGUUGGGAAUUCCGCUGUAUUUAGCUUCCAUUAUAUGCUCCAGUUUUGAAUUUAAACCAUUUAGCUGCCGACUUAUGCUCAUGGUUUGAAACUCUGUUAAAUGAGGAGGUAGAUGAUACAGAGAAUUAUCUCUCGUACAAAAACACUGGCGCCUAUCCAAAUGGAAAAACAUGAUCAUCAUUUUAAACCGAGUGGUACAUGAUCAUGGUUUGAAAUUUUGCCUAAUCUAGUGGCGUAUAAGAAAAUAUAUUGAACUAUGAGGCUCAUACAUGAUCAUGUUUUGCCAAAACUAUAGCCAUUAAUAUGAUUGUCAGUUACAUAAUCACUGUCGGAACUUUGACAAAAUUAAUGGCUCAUACAUGAAUAUGUAAUAAGAAUAGUGAUCCUAUAGGACCCUCAUCCAUUCAUGUGUAUAGGACCUCAAAGGAUUACACUAAAGGUGGCACGGAUCUUUAAAAAAGUUAUCACAUAAGUGUAAAACUUGAUUUUUUUAUAGAUCCGUACUAAAUUUAAUGGUGAUCUUUUAGGAUCCUACACACAUAAGUGGGAGAAGGUCCUUAUUGGAUAAUUUUUCAUGUAAUAGUACCGAUAUUAAAGAUUAUGGAAUGUUUAGCAGGUUAAAAAUGAGCUGAUGAGCUGAUUUUAAAAAUUGCAACCCGUGUCUACUGAAGAUAUUCGAAAAUGAAGGGACUUUUGGUCCACCUAGGAUAGGUUUGGCCCCCCUAUUUUGCAAUUAAAAAGAGGUGGAUUAUUCCAUCUUCAAGCAAGAAUUAAGGGCUACUAGAUUUUGUUCGCUAUAUUGUUUAAAGGGUGCGGUUUGUAUAGAGCCUAGGCUCUAAACAAUAAAAUUAGAGCCUACUUUAUGUCGAGAAAUGUGUUUUUAAUACGGAAAAUCUUUGUGAUUGUUUUAAAAUAUAUUUUUAUAUUUAUUUAUAAAUUUUAAAGCUUAAAAAAUAGUAUAGAUAGACAAAUCUAUAAAAACAUGAAAAUCUCGAAAAUUGACGGUCAAAAAAUACGUUAUAAAAUGUACUAUUUCCAAAACUUGAAAUCCGUUUUUUUACCUUGUCCAUGCAUCUUGAUGGCGAGAUGAUCAAUUUAAAAAUAUUUGAGCAUCAAAACAACUUCUAAUGAACGUUUUGAGAGAGGCUCAAAUUUGACUGUUCAGAGCCUUGGCUAUAUAUAAACUUUUCCCAUUUUUAAAUAAGACAGGCCCGAACAAUGCGUCUCAAUUUGCAAGACAUGUAAUUGGGUUGGUAUAUUUGGCCUUCAUUUGUUUGGGGCAACGGUAAAAUAAUUAUGUAACGGAGAUGCUACCAUAUGCAUGAGAGAGAGAGAGAGAGAGAGAGAGAGAGAGAGAGAUGCCUGAUAGUGCAACCAGGUCGACUUCAUCAAGCCCCUGUUUACUGAAUUGUUGGAGAAGGGUUUGGAAAGUAGAGUUUGGUGCGGGCACGUUGGCGUCUGAAAGGCUUAGGCUUGCUGUCCUCGAGUCUCUCCUCCCCACUGCAACCUCCCAGCUCGGUCCACCACUCUACACCAUCAAAACAAUGCCCCAACUUAACCUACUUAAAAAUAACUCUUAGAAAGUAAAGGUUGAGAUUAAAAAUAACUCUUAAAAAGUAAAAAUUGAGAUUCUUACAUCUUUAGCAUGUGAAAUUACAAUAAAAUAAGUAUUUCACAUACUCAUCCCUAAUUGCACACUCUCUCUCUCUCUCGAUACAAUUGGAGCGUAUGUUAUUUUACCAGUACACUAGAAGCUCUAGCAGCAAGGGCGAGAAGGUCAGCACAUGAAACAACUCCAGGACAUACUGCUUCAAGUUCAGCCUUUACCAAAUCAACCACUUCAAAACCUCUCACUGAAUUAAGAUUUGGGCCCGACUUCUUCUCGCUCGCCACCGAUUCGCUGUUGUCUAACAGAAGCGAACCAUCACAACCCUAAAAAAAUUCAUGGUGAGAGAACAAACUAAACGUCAGGACCUUCUUUUGAGAGAACCACUGAGGGAGGCCCAAAACAACAUAUUUAAGAAAAAGAGGCCUACCUUCCCAACAUGGAUAAAUGUUCAACAUUAACUGGCUUCGUAGAGCUAAAAAAAGGAUGGUUGAGUUCAGAGUUGGUUCAAAUAGGAAGACCAAGAGGCUUUUCAAGAUUCGACUGGUCACCAUACGGUUAGGGAUUAAUCAGAACUGGUGGGACCGAUGGUCGAAUCAAUAAUAUCAUAUAUGAAAAAAUAAAAGAAAAAAGAAUAAAAGUUUAGAAACAUGGACCGCAUCAGAAAAUAUUUGCUCAACUUUGUUUUAACCAAAAAUCAGCUACUUUGACUAAUCAAAUAUCAAUUUUGACUAGUUUUCGAUCAAUCUCGAAAUUAGAAAGACCGAGACACCAAUCAGCUGUCCUACCAAGGGGACCAGCCCAUCUUGGUCCAAAUCUUGACAACUAUAGACAAAAUCUUGUGAUAUCAGGGAGAGAGAGAGAGACCUGCACAAAGCAAUCAUGAAAGUGAAGCCUAAGCAAUGAAGCAGGAAGCCUUGGAUCCUGGGCAAAGGCGUUCUCCAACACUCUAAUCACAACCUCAUUUGCUUGAGGGCAUGUAUAGUCGUAGAAAUAAGGACUCAGUCCAUGGUAAUUGUAACUAUAAUUCACAUUGGAUCGGCUACCAUCCCCAUCGCCCCAAUAAUAAUAGUCGGGAAAAAAAGCUAGAGAGAGGGAGAAGGAGAGAGAAACCAUGAGAAGACACAGUGAAGCUUUAAAUCCAUCCAUGGCUAUUGCAGUUUCACCUAUUCUUGGAUGGUUAUGUAAGGCUGGGCACAAGGGAUAUAUAUAAGGCCCAGAUGACCCUCCCAUGUUUGGUCACUAACUCUAUUAUGAUCAUCCAUAACACUCGGAGAGAGAGAGAGAGUGAGUGUUUUUUUUCACCCUAGUAAGGACAAGCAUACCGUUCAUAAAGUUGAAUUACAUUAUUAACCUAAUUCAAUUUAAUAAUGAGAAACUAAUCAAAAUGUAUUUUAAUGGAAACUUAUCAAAAUGUAUAGAGAUGGCCAAUUAAAUGUUUACCCGAUUCAAUUUUAAAAGCCCUAUCAUCGAAAUGUAGAUUGUUAUCAAGAGUUGAAAUAGUUGAAAAUUGAUAAAAAGUUAAAAAGUUUUGAGUAAAUCGAUUUUGAGCUGUUAGGAGCAGUGCAGUGUUGCCCGGGAGUCCUUUUCGAUUUGGCCAGAAAAAACGAAGCAAUUUGAUGUUUCAGCCAAUUUAGAGGAAGACUUUGGAAUUUUUAAGGUUUUUAAUAUUAAUAAAAUAUAUAUUAAAAUAAUAAAAAUUUUAAAACAAAAAAUUCAAUAAAAAAUACAAUUAUAUGCUUUGGUUGUUGGGCUAGAAGUUUAAGCCGAGGAGGCAGAAUCACAUCGAAGAGAGCCGAAGUACAAAAUUAAUUUUUUAAAUGACAAUUUUGUGCUUCUGUUGAAGAGGCCAAUCAGAACGAAUUGAGCUGAAGUGGCCCAAAGCUAUUUGAGCUUCGUUUCACUUUGGUCUAGACAAAAAAUCCCUUCCGAAAGAUUAUUUUGCUAAACUCACGCACAAGCUUUUCCAAAAAGAUGACCAAAGAGAUUUCGGCCUUUUCCCAUCUUUUUUCAGAAUUUUUAAGUUGAUCAAUCCACCACGUUUGUGAAGUGACUAGGAAAUAAAAUAGGUAAAAAAGAUAUUAAAAGAGUAGUGGAGUGGUGCAGUUGUUGACUUGGUGUGGGUAAUGCCUUCUCCACUUACCAUGAAUCUCAUUGUGUGGAGUGGUUUAUAACUCCAAAAGGUGCAUUAGACAGGACAAUGCAUAGCUUAAUUGCCACCACUUUGAACUAUGUAUUUAAAAAUAAGCGCGUAUAGCAUGCUCCCGCAGGAGCAUGUUGUAUAACAAAUCCCUCAGGAAAAACAACUAUUUGGCUGGACUCUUUUGAUUCAAAAUUUUGAGAUGCAAGAAUUACUAGAUAAUCGUUUUCAAGUUUUUUUUGUUUUUUUUUUGGAUUUUGAGAUCCAAGUAUCACUAAAUUUUGUUUUCGAAAAAUUGGGCAGUUCCAAUGCAAUAUUGGGAUGUCAUUUUCUUUAAGCGCAUAGAGGGUGUUCAUUGGGUUAUACAGAUUACAUCCAUGACAUUUGCGAUCUAAAAAAUAUUUUUAGAGUGAGUUUUGUUUUAGGGAAUAGACGGAGAGUAUAAUCGAACAGGAGUAAGAAAUAUUCGUGCUUUAAAAAUUGGCGGCAUGUUUUGCCUUUACGGAAUUUGGCAAAGUCGUAUAAAAGCGCAUCAGAAAUUGCUCUCCCCGGCAUUGAAAUUCCGGUGAUGUCCUACAAAUAUUCUUCCAACUCAGAUUGUGGAAUUUGAAGUUCAAAAAAUAGUGCAAAAUGCGGCCGAUCACAAAAAACGGUAACAUACAGUGUAAGAAAAUGUGUUGCAGGGUCAAAUAUUUUAAGAAUUUUUUAAAAUCCUUUUGGCUUAAGUUGUAAAAACCAUUUUCAAAAGGUUGAAGUCUAUUUCUUUAGAGAAAUAAUAAAAAAAAUUCUUUUUUAUAAGGUUAUUAGGAAUAAAUCCCAAAAUUUUCUUCACCACUUUUCACAUUUUUUUGACCCAAAUACCCUUCCCGGAAGUAUUAGGUCCAUGAAGGCAGUACGGUAAACGCAGAACCGUGAUGGUCAUGAUGGGUUCAAACGUUGUUGGUGUGGGGCUUAAGUCAUCACGUUUCUAUUAGGACCAUGACGAUAGGGCAGCAUUAGAAUCAUCAUGGUACUUUCAUAACCGUGUUGAUCAACUUGAGUAUCUCGGUUCUUGUACCUCCGUGAUAUCCUUCACGGUUUAAUUAGAGUUGUGAUAGUUGAAUAACUCAUUACGGUGCUCUAAGUGCCAUGAUGCUUCAAAUCAAGGAUUAAAAAAUCACCGAGUUGAGCAGGACUCACCCGGUUCGACUGGAAAAUCGCUAGAGAACGAGCCGGUUCCACGAAUAAACUGGGAAUCGCCUGUUUCCAGAAAGAACCGGACGAUUCCCAACAGUGACUCGCGAGUCAGGCCGAGUCAGACCGCAUCAUCCGCAAGAACACGGGCUGCAUAUUAUUCUUCACGGGAUUUCAAUUUUUUUUGUCAUUUUGUUAUCGAUUUUCAACUUUUUCAGCCUUAUGAAUGAAUCUUACAGGCUUUAAUUCAAAUUUCGCAUCAAUUUCAAUCAAUAAAACGAAUUAAAAAGCACCAUUUUUUAUCAACAAAUUUGGAUCAAAGAGUGAGUUUUAGGGUUUCUGCCAUUUCACUGAUUUCAAUGGAAAGAACGCAUCAUUUUUUGCAAAAUUUCAGGGUGAGUGAUCGUAAGAGUGUUGAUCAGAAUUUUGUGUUCAUAAUUUGUGAUUAUCUUGGAGGAAUACAUAUCAAUUUUGAGUUUAACGGCACAGGUGCACGAAGAACAGAUAAGAACUGUGUUUUUUUUUUUUCCUCCAUGCGAUCAAAUUCAGUCAAUAUUUUGUAAAUCAUGUAUUAAAUUUAUAGGAUUUUGAUUCGUAGUAGUGUUGUUUAUCAUCACAUGUAUUCAAUUUGAUUAUAUUUAUUCAAUUUGAGUUGGAUUUUAUAGAAAACAAGAGUGAUGUCUGUUAAAAAAAAAUGGACUGUGUUUUUUUUUUCCGCCAUUUUCUCAAUUUCAGUAAAUAUUUUGCAAAGAAUGUGUUGAAUUUAUAGGGUUUUGAUUUGUUAUAGUGUUGUUUAUCAUUACAUGUAUUCAAUUUUAUCUGAUUUAUUCAAUUUGAGCUUCAUUUUUUAUUUUGAAUGACUGAUAUCUGUGAAGAACUGCUUUUUUUUUUUUUUCCUCAAUUCAAUCGAUUUUAUUUAAUAUUUUGAUGAUAAUGUAUUAAUAUUAUAGGGCUUUGAUUCCUUAUAGUGUUUUUUAUCAAAAUAUGUACUCAUUUUGAUGUAAUUUAUUCGAUUUGAGGCGGAUUUUUGAGUUGGAAUGACUGAUGUUAGGUUGGUUUGUAAAGAACUGGGUUUUCUUUUUUUAUUAUUCAUGAUCAAUUUUUUUGAGAAAUCGUGAUUUUUCGAAAAUUUAUUUUUGAUUAUCAUUAGGAACUAAACAAUAUUUUUAAUUUUUAUUGUUAAAUUUCUAGUUCAAAAAAUUGCAUGUUGAUAGAUUAUUUAUACAAAAAAAUAUAUUUUAUUAUAUUUUUAAUGCAAAGCUGUAUUUUUUAAUUUUUUGUUAAUGUAAAAAAAUACAUUAACAAAUACAUGUUGUUAAACUGUAUUAUAUUUUUAAUGCGGUUUUGAAGUAUUUUUAAUUUUUUAAAUUUUUAAUGCAAAAAUUACAUGUUGUUAAACUGUAUUAUCAUGAGGAAUUAAAGUGAAUAUCAUUGUAAAAAAAUCAUGGCAUGUUAUUAUAUUUUUAAUGUAAAAAUGUAUUUUUUAAUUUGUUGUUAAUGCAAAAAAAUACAUUAACAAAUACAUGCUGUUAAACUGUAUUAUAUUUUUAAUGUAGUUUUGCAUGAAAGAAAUAUUUUUAAUUUUUAAAAUUUUUAAUGCAAAAAAUACAUGUUGUUAAACUGUAUUAUCAUGAGGAAUUAAAGUGAAUAUCAUUGUAAAAAAAUCGUGACAUGUUAUUAUAUUUUUAAUGCAAAACUGUAUGUUUUAGUUUGUUGUUAAUGCAAAAAAAUACAUUAACAAAUACAUGCUGUUAAACUGUAUUAUAUUUUUAAUGCAGUUUUGCAUUAAAAAAUUAUUUUUAAUUUUAAAAAUUUGUAAUGCAAAAAAUACAUGUUGUUAAAUUAUAUUAUAAUGAGGAAUUAAAGUGAAUAUCAUUGUAAAAAAAUCGUGGCAUGUUAUUAUAUUUUUAAUGUAAAACUGUAUUUUUUAAUUUGUUGUUAAUGCAAAAAAAUACAUUAACAAAUACAUGCUGUUAAACUGUAUUAUAUUUUUAAUGCAGUUUUGUAUUAAAAAUUUAUUUUUAAUUUUUAAAAUUUUUAAUGCAAAAAAUACAUGUUGUUAAUCUGUAUUAUCAUGAGGAAUUAAAGUGAAUAUCAUUAUAAAAAAAUCGUGGCAUAUAUGAGAAUUAUAUUAUCUUGUAAUUUUUAAUUUUAUUAUUAAAUUUUUAAUGCAAAAAAUGUAUGUUCUUGAUAAUUGAAUUGUAGCUAUGUUGGCGCUUGUUUUUUUUUAUAUAUUAUCUUUCAUAUUUGUAAUUGAGAUGUAUAAAUAUUUGUGAUCAUUUCAAUCGAGUUGAGAUUGUGCCGACUAUAUCAUUGUAAAUUUUAUUUGUGGCAUUGUGAAUGACUAUAUCAUUGUAAAUGUUUUUUGUGUCAAAUAUACGUGUAGUGGCAUUAUGGAUGACUAUAUUAAUGUAAUUUUUUUCUUGAUUCUAAGUGUGACUUAUACAUAAAUUUUUUUAUCUAUAAUGUUGCAUAAAUAUUUUUUUUUCUCAGUAGGAACUAAUUCAUGUUUGUCGAAGAAGUCCAUAUGCAUUAGCAUUGUGAAUUACUAUACCAUUAUAAAUAUAUUUUUUAUUGAUACUAUAUCAAUGUAAAUUUAUUGUUCUAUAUGUAGUAGCUGAUAUAAGCUAUUUUUAUCUAUAAUGUUGCAUAAAUAAAUUAUUUUUCUCAGUAGGAGUUAAAAUAUUUUUGUCAAUAAAAGUAUUUUGCAUUAACAACAAAUAUAACUUCAUGAACCACCCUUACAUAUUAUCACUACACAUGGUGAUUAUUUUUCAUGUUCAAUUGUCAGGUUAAUUUUUAAACUUUUACAUUUUAAAGUUGAACCAUGGCAAGAUCUACGGAAGACCCUGCAUGACAACAUGGGGUCAGACUUGAUCCUAACAAAAAAGACAAAAUUAUUUGUAAUUACUGCCAAAGAGUGAUAAGUAGUGCGGUACAUAGGUUCAAGCAAUACUUGGCAGGGGUUAAGGGAGAUGUUUAUGCAUGCAAUAAUAUCCUUAAUAAUGUAAGAAAGCAGAUGGAGGCAUUUCUUAAGGCUACCAAAGGUAAAAAAAUUGCAAAGUAGAGGAUGGAUGAGGAGAUAGCUAGUUUAUAUACGCCAUCAAGCGGGAAUGAUCCAGAAGAGCAAUAUAAUAAUGACUUGGAGAUGGCCACAAGAAUGAGUUCACAUGAAACAUACCAGAGGGAAUGUGCGUUUAUAAUGCUUGGUGGUUAUAACAUGGGCAUGCAUGGUGGGCCUAGCUCAGACAUGCAUGGCAGGCCCAACUCGAGCAUGUAUGGCAAGCUCAGCUCAAAUAUGUAUGGAGGGGUUGGUGGCAAUAUGUAUCAAGAGGAAUCGGACGUUGAAGAAAUUGUUUCUAACUUAGCUAGGAGUGCCAGUAUUGCUGGUCAUGGUCAUAUAAACCCAUUUCUCUCAAAGCCUAAGUCAGAACAAAUGACCCUCAAAGGCAUGGUGAAAGGUACGAGAAACAUGUUGGGCAAAUAUAUAAGAAAAUGGUUCUACGAUAAAGGGAUCCCCUUUGAUGCAGCCAAUAGCCCAUAUUUUCCACCUAUGGUCAAUGCAAUCUAGAGAGCCGGGCCCGGGGUCAAACCCCCGACGGCAUAUGAGCUCAGUGGACCAAUAUUGGAUGAAGAGGUGGAGGAAGUUAGAAAGUGGAUUGAAGAAUAUGAGCAGAGUUGGCCAAGAACAGGCAUUACUCUAAUGAGUGAAGGUUGGUUGAAUAAAGUUAGCAAAAAAAAGUUUGUAAACUUCUUGGCCUAUUCCCCAAAAGGUAGAACUUUUUUGUCUAGCAAAGGCGUAUCAGAGACAAAAAAAGAUGCAAACUUCUACGUACGACUAUAUGAUCAGAUAGUGGAGGAGGCGGAGAUAAGUAUGUAGUCCAGUUUAUUACAGACAAUGCACAUGCAUGUGUUUCUGCGGGCAGCAAGUUGAUGGAUAAGAGGAAGCGUCUAGUAUGGACCCCGUGUGCUGCACACAGCAUCGAUAUGAUGUUAGAAGAGAUCGGUGAGAUCAAAAUUGUGAAGGAGACUCUACAGGAAGCAAGGUUGGUGUCAAGAUUUAUAUAUAACCAUUUUAAAAUUUUAUUUUUGUUCAGAGAACAGUCUAAGAAAAAAUAGAUAAUCAGGCCUACCAUAACCUAGUUUGUGACAGAUUACUUGGUUGUGGACUCCAUUCGGGAAUCUGAAGGUGCAAUAAAGAUAUUGUUUACCAGUGAAGAGUGGUUAAUGACUGCCUCUCAAAGUCCAGUACCGGGCUAAAAGUGGACGACAUGACCUCAAAUAGGAGGUUCUGGUCUCAAUGUUCCAGUAUCGUAUAGGCCACCUUCCCUUUGGUCACGGUGUUAAGAAUGAUGGAUGUUGACAAGAAAGCUACCAUAGGCAUAUUUUAUGAAGGUAUCGAGAGGGCCAAAUCAGCUAUUGGGGAGAAGUGUAAUAUCGAGAUUAUAGAAAGAAGGUGGAGCAUAAAAUUUGGACGUCCAAUUCAUUAUGCAGGUAAAUAUAUAUUUAUAUCAUUAGAAUGUUUCAUCGUAAAUUAUUUUUUUAUGAAAUUUUAAAUGACAUUUCUCUAUCUAUAUAUUUUUCAGGUUAUUACUUCAAUCCAAAAUUUUUCUAUUUGGCACUUGAACAUCCCCACAAGAUUAUGAAAGGGGUCAGAUACAUUAUUGUCAGGUUGAAGAGAAGCCAAUGAACCAGGUAGCAGCAAUACAUGAGGUAUUAUUUAAUAUUUUGGUAAGAACUUGAUUGAAUUGUUAUAUUUGUGAGGAAUAAUGCAUUAGAACGAAAUAUUUUGUUUUAGCUUGCUAUGUAUAGGGAUGCUAUAGGAUCCUUCGAAACUAAACUUGCCAGGAAUUCUCGAACUAAGAUGGAUCCAGGUUAUCUCCUAACUAAUUUUUUGUUCAUUCAUAUAUUUAAUCUUAUAAAUUAUUCUUGCUCUUACAAUGCUUUUUGCAUUUUAAUCCAGCUGAAUGGUGGGAGAUAUAUGGUAGUGAUGCACCUCACCUAAAUAGGAUAGCAAUCAAGGUGCUCUCCUAGACAUGUUCUGCUAUUGGCUGUGAGCGAAACUGGAGUACGUUCCAAUGGUUCACACUACUAGAAGGAAUCGACUCUCUUCGGAGAAGCUUCAUAAAAUAGUCUACGUUCAUUACAACUUAAACCUCUGAGAGCGACAAAUAAGAAGGAAGCUUGAAGACUACGGGCCGAUAGACUUGGACACAAUAUUUGUCACAGACACAGCAGAGCAAUGUGUAGUAGAAGAAGAGGAGCUAAUGUUGCACAACAGAGCGUUCCUUGAGGCUAUCCGUGAGGAAGAUCUUGAAGAAGGUGAUGAGCAGCAUGAAAGAGGAAGCAGCCCACCAACAUAUCCACAAUUCGUCAGAGAUGUCGGUGAUAUUGCACCUAAUGAGGGAGAGUGAGAAGCAAGUCUAAGGGAAAAUGAGAGAGAUGAUGAUUCUGAGGCCACCCAAUCCCAGCCAACUUAUUCACAUAUUGAGUCCUAACAACAAGAGGGUAGAGAUGAGCACGAUAGUAUAGGUGAGCAUGAAGGAUAGACAAGCUUCGGGGAUUUUGGAUUAAGACCACAACAAAACACUAACACUCAGGGAUUUGAAAAUAGUCAGGUGCCCACUAAUUUGGAUGAUUUGUUUUUAGAUCGAGUCAAUGAAUUGUCACGUGAAUUCAAUCAAUGGCAUCAGCGUGACCAUGAUGAAGAACGACAUCGUCUGUCAUUUUAUUUUUAGAUCGUAUGUUACAAAUUGUAUGCUUUCUUGUAGUCCAUGUAUGAUGAUAUACCUAAUCCAUGAUAAUUCUAUGUUUAUCCUUUUGUGUGAUGUAAAUUAAAUGGUAAAUAGUAGUUCAUGCAGGGAAAGAACAUAUCAAUAUUCGCAUAUUCAUGCAAAGAAAUGAAAAUUCUUAAUGGAGUACCCUCAUUUCUUAUUGAAUUUUUAAAAAACAACAUUUAUAAUGAAUUUUAAUAUUAUUUGCGGAUUUUUUUUAAGGCUUAAUCCAACUGAUUCAGCCGAUUCUCUAUCCGGAUCGCCGAUUCACCGAUCUGGAUGGGUUUUUGAGAUGCCCGAUCCGGGUCACCGAUCCUCUUUUUAAACAACUGCUUCAAACAUAGUUCUACCAGAACCAUGAUGACUUCAACCCAAUACAAAGUCAUUUAAAAUCCACUUUGACCAUCAUGGUUCUGGUUUAACGGAUCUAAGACUACCAUGAAAAGUAUUUUUGACCAAAAACAUACAAAUAGUGAUGAAAGGGAUACAAAUGAAAUUUGGAAAAAUUUGGGGUUUAUGUCUAACAAUCUGACAAAAAAAAAAAAAGAAAAAAAAAAGAAAAAAAAAAGAAUACUUUUUAAUAAUUUUCCUUGUUUUUUUGCAAGUUUCUUGGCAUUGGAAUUGGAUUUUCAAGAAGGAUUUGAGGGAUAAGUAUGUGAAGCCGUGGUCCAGCCAUAUAUUUCCUUAUAAGGAGGCAAUGUUCAACAACUCAGCCGAGUACACUAGGCCUGGACCGAGUUUUCGGCAUUGACCAAUGGUGCAGAAAUAAAUUUUCAUUUUAAUUUUCAUGAGUAUUUUUUGUGUUGUAUAUGACUUUUUUAAUUGAUAUUAAAAAUUACUUAGUUAAUUUGAACUAACAAAGUGCCAAAAUUUAAAAAAUAGGAAAAAUUUUCACUUAUAAAUAAUGAUUUGAACAAUAUUGUUUAAAAAGUAGUUUUUAUUAUCAAAAUUAAAUUUAUAGUUUUGAGAACUAUUUUUGCCUAGAGAUGGAAUUAUAUUUUUUUUUAUUAAUACAACAAAUUUUAAUGUGUCUCACAUGUUGAGUAAAUAUUUUUAUAUUCAAAACUACAAUAAAAAUAAGUUCUCACUUUAGUUUUCAUGAGUAAAAUUUAUUUUUGCGUGAUAUAAAACUUUUUAAAUUGAUACAACUUAGUAAAUUUUUUAAUAACAAAAUGUCAAAAAUUAAAAGAACUAUUAUUAUUCCAUUUGAAAGGACGUAGAAAAACAAUGGGUGAGACAUGUGGCACUUUUCCUCCACCAUUUAGUGGUGCUAUGCUGGGAAUGGGGCUGGGGACGUAGUGGUAGCACCCCCACACCCUAGUCACCAUGUUGUGGUUUCCAUUCCCAUUACUAAUGCGACCCCACUAAUACCUUUUAAAAAGCUAACUCCUAAUCUGCUUGAAAAAACAGGUAGGGGUCUGUCUUCCCCAUCGAUGGGUAGCGCCAGUAGAGGGUAGUUUGAGAUUGAAUGUUGACGACAACUCAUUGGAGAAUUCAGGUUCAGCUGGUUUGGGGAUGGGGGGGGGGGGGGAAGAAUACAGUGAGAAACUCGAUAGGAAAUAAUUCUGUGUUAUGGGGGGCCUUGUGGUGAAAAGACGGCAAAUGAAGCAAAAAUCUUAACGACUUUGCAAAGAAUGAAAAUUCUAAAGGAGAGGGGAAUUCAGCAGUCGUAUGUUAUUGAGCUGACAUAAUUUUUGUGAAUGAUCAGAGGCCGGAUGACAUGAAUUAGAGGUUGAAGAUGACAUACUUUUCCGGUUGUUGGAAUCCCAUUUUCAACUUCCCAAAAUUGGAACAUGCUCAAACGAAGACCAAACUGGAUGAAAUUUAUCACAAAAUGAUCAUGAUAGUAUUAUCUUCAAUUUGUGAUCCAAAUGAAGGCUUGGAACGUCAUAGAUCGUGCCAGAUUGGUGGUCGAAGAAUCACAAGUUUAUGGAACUUGGCCAGAUUUUGGGUAUCAAAACGUGCACAAUAGUUCAAACAUAAAUUCUACGAUAAUUGAUCACUCGAAUUACCACCGUAAGCGUCUAAAGAAAUGCUCCCAAAGCCUAGCAAUGAUAAGAGGCCCCUCAUGAAGGGAUGGUUUUGUCAUUUGUUGAAAACUGUAGUUCUUCGAAGCACGGUCGCAACGAAGCCAUACUUACGACGAUCCGGCAUCGGGAUCUUGAAUUUGAUGUUCUUUUAAAAUCUGAAUUUUCAUGCUUCGAGCUCUCGAAAUUCUCUCGUUUCGGGCCACGCUAUGAUGCGUGUUGUAUAUAAAAAAAAAAGUGAAUCGCAAGUUCUAGCUCGUGUCCGAAUUUGACCUUAAUUGGAUUCAAAACGAGCAAGUUAUGAGCAUUUGAAAAUCAUCCCAAAAUGAGAAAACAUAGUUUCCAUAAAAUGGAAACUAGUUCACCGAGAAUGCACCGCCAUAGUGUAAAACCUACCUUUUUAUGGUAAGUUAGACCCAGAAUGGUCCCGGAGGGUCUGAUUGAGCCGGAAUUUGGUGCUUAAGGGUUAUUCGACGUUCUAGAUCCAAUGGAAGGGGUUUGAUACUAUUUUGAGACCUAAAAUAUGGGGCUAUAGUUAUAGAGUCCAUUUUCAACAUGAUAGGAACUGGAUUUGAAAACUAAGUUUUGUCUGGAUCAUAUCAAAACUCGUCAGAACACAAUAACACUUUGUGGGUGUCCAUAGGGUAUCAAAAAAUACCCUCUCAUGCAAUUCGAGGCCAUUAUAACACUUCUUCAGAGGUCGCCCAAGUUUAGAUUUAUUACUAUAAUGUUCCCAUGGUUUGUCCGGCGGGACCAGGUUACUACCGGCUCACUCCUUAUUCGCCCCAGGGAUACAAGUGAGUCAAAAGUUACAUAUAACACAUUCGUUUGAUCAUCAACUAAUGAAAUUUCGACAACCUUAAGCCGUAUUAAUGUUUAACAUGUUAGUAUGGGGCCUGCCAUGCAACGGACUGAUAUGUGAGCCCAUCAUCUCAGUCAUGUUGCCCAGGCUAUUUCCUGCUUACUGGAGGUCUCGGGACCUGACGCUAGUUGAAAUGACACUGGUAGCAUUGACACUAUCGUCAGGCAUUUAGGCUUUUUUGAGCUCACUAGAGGCCUGGGUAUGGGCGCUGACGCCAAUGGGAAUGGUGUCGAGUGUCUACCUACACUGAUCACACAUUUUUGCGACUGAGGUGCCUUUGGUAUCUUACCAUUAGACUUUUGAUAGGGCAUCGGUGUCCAUUGAGGUAACGUCAGAGGCCUUCUUUCUGAAAUGCUUCAUGGUCAGGUCUUUAUGAGUCUGUUUUGCCUUGUCUAGUCUCUUGCUGUCUUUGGCCCCACUGGAGCAAUAAGGGUUUGGUGGAGGCUAGGUUUACGGAAAAGGGAUUUCAGUGGGGUGAAUAGUUUGAAAUAUCCGAGUGGUUUGCCUAGGAAAUUUCAACCUAUCCAUAACUUCUGCAGUUGAGAUCAGGGUGUCUACAACGUGCAUGCACGUUUGGGUCAUAUGAGAGAGUGAACUCAAGGUACUUCUCGAUAAAGACCUUCUCCCUGGUUUAAAAUUUUUUUAAUUUAGAUUUUUGUGAUUCAUAUUUAUUUGGAAAGAAUAACAAAUUGUGCUUUUCUUUAUCCACAGCUAAAAGUACGAAUUUUUUACAAUUGAUUCAUUCAGACACAUGGGAAUCACCUGUUGUUUCUAGUUGGGGGGGGGGGGGGGGGGGGGGGGAUGGGUGUUGUAUAUUUUUUCACUUUUAUUGAUGUUUUUUCAAGAAAAAUGUGGGUUUAUAUGCUGAAAAGGAAAUCAGAUGCCUUCAGUUGUUUCCAAAAAUUUAAGGUCUUGGUAGAAAAUCAGAAAGGUAAGAGCAUCAAGUGUCGAAGAACUGACAAUAGGGGAGAAUUUUGAUCUGGCGAAUUUAAUAAUUCUUGUAGUGAGAAUGGUAUUGCUAGGAAUUUGAUAGUUUCCUGAGCCCCUCAAUAAAAUGGUGUUGCUGAGAGGAUGAAUCGUAUCAUUAUGGAGCGUGCCAGGUGUAUGUUGAGUGCUGCCGGGUUAGAGCAAUGUUUCUGGGCCGAAACAGUUCGUAUAGCUUGGUUCCUAAUCAAUAUGUCUCCCAGUUCUGCUAUUGACUACAAGACAAUAAGAAGAGAUUUGGACAGGUAUACCUGUUGAAUAUUCUUUCCUUCAUGUUUUUGAUUGUGAUGCAUAAUAUUUGAUUCCAAAGGAGAAAAGAACUAAGUUGGAUGAAAACCCAAGAAGUGCGUUUUUCUUAGCUAUGUUGAUGAUACAAAGGGGUAUCGAUUGUGAGAUCCUACUUACCAUAAUUUUAUAAUUAAUUGAGAUAUUAUUGUUAUACAUCAUUUUUGACGUACUUAUGCCUCCCACGCGAAUAAUGAGAGAGCAGGUAACAAUUUGGUCAUGUUGGUACUCAAAACACCGACAGACCAAAGUCAUGUUGCGAAAUAAGUCUCGGACCAGGCAACCUGGGAGGAAUGCUGUCGCGCCAAAGAGAGACACUACAACUGUAGCCCUAUGCUAACGGCUUUAGAAUGGGGGGGGUGGGGGGGGNGGGGGGGGUGGGGGUGGGUGCUAUUAUUUUACUUACUAGUUAGUUAGUAGUUAGUUUUUACGUUAAAGAAAAGUAAGUUGGGUUUANNNNNNNNNNNNNNNNNNNNNNNNNNNNNNNNNNNNNNNNNNNNNNNNNNNNNNNNNNNNNNNGUGUGAGAGAGNNNGUGGGGGAGGGGGGGGGUGGGUGGGUGCAUAUUUUUUCACUGUUAUUGAUGUUUUUUCAAGAAAAAUGUGGGUUUAUAUGUUGAAAAAGAAAUCAGAUGCCUUCAGAAUGGGGUGGGUGCAUAUUUUUUCACUGUUAUUGAUGUUUUUUCAAGAAAAAUGUGGGUUUAUAUGUUGAAAAAGAAAUCAGAUGCCUUCAGUUGUUUCAAAAAAUUUAAUGUCUUGGUAGAAAAUCAGAAAGGUAAGAGCAUCAAGUGUCUAAGAAUUGAGAAUAGGGGAGAGUUUUGAUCUGGUGAAUUUAAUAAUUCUUAUAGUGAGAAUGGUAUUGCUAGGAAUUUGAUAGUUUCCCGAACCCCUCAACAAAAUGGUGUUGCUGAAAGGAUGAAUCGUAUCAUUAUGGAGCGUGCCAGGCAUAUGUUGAGUGAUGUUGGGUUAGAGCAAUGUUUCUAGGCUGAAACAGUUCGUACAACUUGGUUCCUAAUAAAUAGGUCUCCUAGUUCUGCUAUUGACUACAAGACAAUAGAAGAGAUUUGGACAGGUAAACCUGUUGAUUAUUCUUUCCUUCAUGUUUUUGGCUGUGAUGCAUAAUAUUUGAUUCCAAAGGAGAAAAGAACUAAGUUGGAUGAAAACCCAAGAAGUGCGUUUUUCGUAGCUAUGUUGAUGAUACAAAGGGGUACAGAUUGUGAGAUCCUACUGACCAUAAUGUUAUAAUUAGUUGAGAUAUUAUUGUUAUACGUCAUUUUUGACGUACUUAUACCUCCCACACGAAUAAGGAGAGAGCAGGUAACAAUUUGGUCUUGUUGGUCCUCAAAACACCGACAGACCAAAGUCAUGUUGCGAAAUAAGUCUCGGACCAGGCAACCUGGGAGGAAUGCUGUCGCGCUAAAGAGAGACACUACAACUAUAGCCCUAUGCUAACGGCUUUAGAGCAGUACCAGACCACCACCAUGGCACUCAGAAUGUCUGAAAACCCUCAAGGAUCAAAUUUUGGAUCAAUCGGACAACCCAAAGGGGGUCUACACCCAUACGGCCUCAAAACCGGUAGGUAUUAAACUAUCACAGUGCGGCUUCAUUGAACCAGGCCCCAAGCACGGAGACUGCAACAUCGCAUAUCGAGAUGGACUUCGAAGAACCUACAAUACCUUCACCAAGAAGCAGAAAAAGUUUAGACUUUGACAUGUUUUAGAUCAUGUCAGCCCUCUCAUUUUGGCGCGACCCAGAGUCAAAAUUCUUCUAGAAAGAAUGUGAUCACAAAACAAAAAAAAUCAGGGUUUUUAAGAAGAAGACAUCUCGAACCUCGUGAAGCACAACUCGGAAUCCGCGCAUGGGAUAAUCGCGACUUCAAUGCAACCACCUCGCGAAGAGCUACAAACUGGUAUAACUAUCGUACAUCAUCCAAGGCCCGAUAGGUACAAAUCCCCAACUUGCCAGGAAAGCAAACCCACUCGGUCACCAGAAUCCCUUUUCCCCGUGACCUCCCAAAUUAGGAAAUGCUGCAAAUGAAGACCAAAACAGACCAAACUUGGUGCAAAACGACUGUGACAAUCUCGUCAUUCACAUGCAAGCAGAAUGAAGACUCAAAGCAUCACAGGUCGAAGGGCACUAGCGAACGAAGUUAACAAAUCUGACCGGACUUCCACCACGUGGGAAAAGGCUGCCUCAACACGACUAAAGGGCAUCAAAAUGCUCAAAAUCAAACACGCAUUGAGGAUAUAACAACAAAUCGGCUGAACUAUCGCUACAAGUGCAUAGAAAAGCUUCUCAGAUCUGGCAAUGGCGGAAGGACUCUCAAGCAAGGAUGGUUUCAUCAUUAGCAUAAAAAGUCUCAGGGGUGUUUUGGUCAUUGUACCAAAUUUCAAGAUUUUAUUUUAAUUUCUUUAAAUGUAAUUAAGCUUUGUAUUUAAGCAUUCACCCCUGUUUGGUGAAUUCUCUAUAUAAACAAGCUUAAGCCACUUGUAAAAGGGUUGACUAUUGAGCAUCGUUCAUAGUUAAAACAUAGACAUAACAUUUGUUUUCACUUGUCUUUUGCUUCUGAACCUUUAAUCUCGACGAGAGGAGAGAGAAAACUUUUCCAGAGAGAGAAAAUACCCCUGAGUGCAUGGUCAUCUUCUCGAAGCGAGAAAAUAUCUUUGCCCGCGCAAGUGCAUUCUCUUUCUCUCUCAAGCCGGGUCACAUCCUGUGCCCUUUCUCUCUCUCCUCUCCUCUAUGCAUUGUUUGCCCCAGGCAGCAGCCCGAGCCCGUCAGGGACACGCGGUCGCGAGCACUCCUGCGAGUGCCGAGCCUCACUUUUCUUUUACACCUUCUUAAGCCAGCUAGUCGGUCCCCCUCUAAGAGGGAACCAUUGUGAAAGGGGGAUAACCGAGCCCUAUUGCAGUUGUACGAGAGAGAGAGAGAGAAAG
rnacentral:lncRNA from 1 species